rnacentral:rRNA from 1 species
GACGAACGCUGGCGGCGUGCUUAACACAUGCAAGUCGAACGGAAAGGCCCUGCUUUUGUGGGGUGCUCGAGUGGCGAAAGGGUGAGUAACACGUGAGUAACCUGCCCUUGACUUUGGGAUAACUUCAGGAAACUGGGGCUAAUACCGGAUAGGAGCUCCUGCUGCAUGGUGGGGGUUGGAAAGUUUCGGCGGUUGGGGAUGGACUCGCGGCUUAUCAGCUUGUUGGUGGGGUAGUGGCUUACCAAGGCUUUGACGGGUAGCCGGCCUGAGAGGGUGACCGGCCACAUUGGGACUGAGAUACGGCCCAGACUCCUACGGGAGGCAGCGGUGGGGAAUAUUGCACAAUGGGCGGAAGCCUGAUGCAGCAACGCCGCGUGCGGGAUGACGGCCUUCGGGUUGUAAACCUCUUUCAGCAGGGACGAAGCGCAAGUGACGGUACCUGCAGAAGAAGCACCGGCCAACUACGUG